rnacentral:tRNA from 1 species
GGGGUUGUAGCUCAGUGGUAGAAUGCUCACCUAGCACGUGUAAGGCCCUGAGUUCGAUCCUCAGCACCUCA